rnacentral:rRNA from 1 species
CACGUAGGCGGCUUUCUAAGUCGGGGUGAAAUCCUGGAGCUCAACUCCAGAACUGCCUUCGAUACUGGAGAGCUUGAGUCCGGGAGAGGUGAGUGGAACUGCGAGUGUAGAGGUGAAAUUCGUAGGUAUUCGCAAGAACACCAGUGGCGAAGGCGGCUCACUGGCCCGGUACUGACGCUGAGGUGCGAAAGCGUGGGAGCAAACA